UGGGGAAUAUUGCACAAUGGAGGGAACUCUGCUGCAGCGACGCCGCGUGAACGAAGAAGGCUUUCGAGUCGUAAAGUUCUUUUAUAUGGGAAGAUAAUGACGGUACCAUAAGAAAAAGCCCCGGCUAACUGCGUGCCAGCAGCCGCGGUAAUACGUAGGGGGCUAGCGUUGUCCGGAAUCACUGGGCGUAAAGGGUUCGCAGGCGGAAAUGCAAGUCAGGUGUAAAAGGCAGUAGCUUAACUACUGUAAGCAUUUGAAACUGCAUAUCUUGAGAAGAGUAGAGGUAAGUGGAAUUUUUAGUGUAGCGGUGAAAUGCGUAGAUAUUAAAAAGAAUACCGGUGGCGAAGGCGACUUACUGGGCUCAUUCUGACGCUGAGGAACGAAAGCGUGGGUAGCAAACAGG
rnacentral:rRNA from 1 species